rnacentral:rRNA from 1 species
AGGCAAUAACAGGUUUGUGAUGCCCUUAGAUGUUUUGGGCCGCACGCGCGCUACACUGACUGAGCCAGCGAGUUUAUAACCUUGGCCGAAAGGUCUGGGUAAUCUUGUGAAACUCAGUCGUGCUGGGGAUAGAGCAUUGCAAUUAUUGCUCUUCAACGAGGAAUGCCUAGUAAGCGUGAGUCAUCAGCUCGCGUUGAUUACGUCCCUGCCCUUUGUACACACCGCCCGUCGCUACUACCGAUUGAAUGGCUUAGUGAGAUCUCCGGAUUGGCUUUGGGAAGCUGGCAACGGCCUCCUAUGCGAGA